rnacentral:rRNA from 1 species
GACAGAGGGUGCAAACGUUGUUCGGAAUUACUGGGCGUAAAGCGCGUGUAGGCUGCUUGGAAAGUCGGAUGUGAAAGCCCUGGGCUCAACCUAGGAAGUGCAUUCGAAACUUCCAGCUGGAGUGCUGGAGAGGAAGGCGGAAUUCUCGGGUGUAGAGGUGAAAUUCGUAGAUAUCGAGAGGAACAUCGGUGGCGAAGGCGGCCUUCUGGA